GCUGGCGGCAGGCCUAAUACAUGCAAGUCGAACGCUCCAGCAAUGGAGAGUGGCAGACGGGUGAGUAACGCGUGGGAACCUUCCCAGAGGUACGGAAUAGCUCAGGGAAACUUGAGGUAAUACCGUAUACGCCCUUCGGGGGAAAGAUUUAUCGCCAUUGGAUGGGCCCGCGUCGGAUUAGCUAGUUGGUGGGGUAAUGGCCCACCAAGGCGACGAUCCGUAGCUGGUCUGAGAGGAUGAUCAGCCACACUGGGACUGAGACACGGCCCAGACUCCUACGGGAGGCAGCAGUAGGGAAUAUUGGACAAUGGGCGAAAGCCUGAUCCAGCCAUGCCGCGUGAGUGACGAAGGCCUUCGGGUUGUAAAGCUCUUUUGGCGGGGACGAUAAUGACGGUACCCGCAGAAUAAGCUCCGGCUAACUUCGUGCCAGCAGCCGCGGUAAUACGAAGGGAGCUAGCGUUGUUCGGAAUCACUGGGCGUAAAGCGCACGUAGGCGGAUGUGUCA
rnacentral:rRNA from 1 species